rnacentral:misc_RNA from 1 species
GGAUGCUUUCGAGCCAUCC